rnacentral:rRNA from 1 species
GACGACGCUGGCGGCGUUGGAUUAGGCAUGCAAGUCGAACGGUAGGAUACUUUCGGGUAUCUGAGAGUGGCGAACGGGUGAGUAACACGUAGGUGAUCUACCCUCAAGAUUGGGACAACCCAGGGAAACUUGGGCUAAUACCGGAUGAAAGCAGCAGUGAUGUUGUUUGAAAGGUGGCGUAAGCUGCCGUUUGGGGAUGAGCCUGCGCUCUAUUAGUUAGUUGGCGGGGUAAAGGCCCACCAAGGCGAUGAUAGAUAGGCGGCCUUAACGGGUGGUCGCCCACACUGGGAUUGAGAUACGGCCCAGACUCCUACGGGAGGCAGCAGUCGAGAAUAGUCUACAAUGGCCGAAAGGCUGAUAGUGCGACGCCGCGUGAACGAAGAAGCCCUUCGGGGUGUAAAGUUCUUUUAUAUGUGAGCAGUGCUUUUCAUGUUAACAGCAUGGGGAGAGAGAUAUUAGCAUAUGAAUAAGCAACGGCUAACUCCGUG